AAUGUAAUUUGUCUUAAAUUUUAGUCGCCAUGAGAUUUUAAGCAGAACGAGAAUUUGUUUCUCUCUAUCGAUAUAAAGCCUUUCAGACUGGAUGGGAAAAAAACCAAAGGAAAAACCUUCAAUUCUUUUAUAUCUUUUUAACUUAAACAGCAACAAAGGAAACGCCCUUUCUCUCUCAACUCUUAAUUUUUGUUAUUCUAAAAAAAUUUGACCUCACAUCUAGGAUUACGUCCUGGUUUUGCUGCCCAAUAGGGUCUCGAGGGAGCUCUAACUCGUACCCAUCUUACUGUGCAGCGGGAAUGGAACAUGAAACAAAAAGAUACUAGUGUAUUAGUACACAACACAGCAGGACUCCGUUAAAAAUAGUUCAGGAAAAAAAUGAAGCCAAAGAAGCAAAUGGAGCAAAAUCAUUCCCGACUGCUUUUGAGUGAAAAUAACAAAGGAAGACUGACGCAGUAGCAGACGAAUACAUGCAUACUGCCGAUAAUUCAGAACGCAUGCACACAAGCACCAAAGGAAGAUUCCCAACUGCUUGUACCGCAUGUAAACGAAAUACAGAUGAACCAAAUGGACAGAUAGAUCUCAAAGGGACCUAUAAUUACAAUGAAAACCUGUUAGUUAAUGAACGAUUAUAUCAUGUACUGGAUAAUUGACUCACACAAAUUAAAAGAUCCUCUAUUCAGAUUUAUUGCUACAAAGUCGUAGAUUUGAGAGCACAACAUUGAUUUUUCAGAUUUGGUGCCCUCCAAAGUUGCAGACUUGGAGGCAUAGUUGAAGAACUUGUUGAAUCUCUCUCGGUUUUGUAUAAUGUAACUCGUAUCCUCUAAGCUAGCAAGUCAAAAGUUCUACGUCCCAUAAUAACGUCACAGAUAAAUCAUAUUAAUACCAAUUAAUGUUGUGUCAUGUGGAUACUUGUAAGAGAUAUUCGGUCUGUAGUAAACCAUUUUGACUCUUUGUUGUGCAACCGUUCAAAGCUUGUAAAGUCCGUUUGUAAUUUGCAUUGGCUAUGAAGUGUUUUCUGAAAUGUUUGCUUAUGGAUCCCGAGUGAGACGUUUUCUCUAACUCAUUUUCUCUUUUGUAAGUCCUUAGGAACCAUGAAAGGGCAGAUGAACACACAAGGGUGCCGCACGACUUAGGUAAAACUAAGUCCGUAACAAUGCGACAAAGAAUAACCGAAAGCUAAACCUCAAGCUUCUUUAGUUACAAGAAGCUCAUAUUUGAAUAUCCAUCACAAAACUUGCUACAGUCAUGAACCAUGGACGUGACCCUUUGUUCUCAUUUUUAUUUGCUCGGUAUAUCGAUCAAUCUCUUCCGGGUGCUCUCCUCUCGUCUCUACCAUUUGUUAGGGUAGGGGCGCUUCUGUUAGUCGCACUUGAUUCGGUACAUGAUAUUGGACAUCUAUGACUAGUGAAUCAUGAAUGAUUCAUCUCACUUGUUUAUUAUGGCAAGAAGAAACUCUCAACCUCUUAGCUUCUUGAACUCGAUGCCAUUAUCUAUCAUUCACAAGCGGGUGAGCAAAACAAUCACGAAACCCUAGUUCUUGACAAGUAAUUUCCCCUAACUAAUUACUUCACAUACUGCAAAGAUCAUUUAGUUACAAGAAGAUAUCACCAUAAAAGAAAUGCAAGAUAACCGUCGAUCGAUCAAAAUAUAUUGCUACAGAAAUUUUUUGAAAGAAAGUUCCCAUAACGAAGUACAUGUUAGAGCUAGCCCCAGGAUAUUUACCAAAGGAUAAUUUUGAUAACCCAACAAGACAAUAAAACGGAAAGAAUAAAAGCGAGACAAGAACACCAGAUAUACGUGGUUCGGUCAAUUGACCUACAUCCACGGACGAAGGAGGAGCAAAUCACUACUAUAAAAAGAGACUAUUACAAAUGCCUUAGGAAGAUGUUCUUAGGCCAUAAAACACCCGAAAAUACUAAACAAGAAAAACCCAAAGUAUAAGUCCAAACUAUUUAACUGAGUAUGGACUUAAACAAAAGUAAAUACUUAGGUUUUCUUGUGGUGCCACUUGUGGUGCAUCUGACUUCAAAGCCCAGACCCUUAUUUAUAGUUCCAAUAGGAGAUAACAAUCCUGAUUUUCCCGAUGUGAGAUUAUGGGACUUGCCAAACUAACAGUACAACAUGGAUCCGAAGCAGACCUCAAAGAACGAAGAACAUCGUUGAUCAGAAUAAGCGAAAACAGCACGAAACGAUAAAAAAAUUAUCGAGCCCAAAGAGAAUCAUCGUUGUUUAGCAUAUGAGAGAACAACGUGAAACGAUAAAAAAUAUUUGAGGCCAAGAUGAUCAUCGUUGAUCAGAAUAAGAGAAAACGGCGCGAAACGCGAUCAGGAAUUAUCGAGCCCAAGAAGAACAUCGUUGAUCAGCAGAGCGAAACUGUUAGUUUGGCAAGUCCCAUAGUCCCACAUUGGGAAAAUCAAGCUUGUUAUCUCCUAUUGGAACUAUAAAUAAGGGCCUGGGCUUUGAAGUCAGAUGCACCACAAGAAAAACCUAAGUGUUUGCUUUGGUUGAAGUCCAUACUUAAUUAAAUAGUUUGGACUUAUAGUUUGAUUUUUUUUUUUUAGUAUUUUCGGGUGUUUUAUGGCCUAGGAACAUCUUCCUAGGGCAUUUGUAAUUGUCCCUCUUUUGCAGUAGUAAUUUGCCCCUCUUUCGUCCGUGGAUGUAGGUCAAAGUCAAUUGACCGAACCACGUAUAUCUGGUGUUCUGGUGUUCUUGUCUCGCUUUUAUUCUUUCCAUUUUAUUGUCUUGUUGGGUUGCCAAAAUUACCUUGUGGUAAAUUUCCUGGGGCUAGCUCUAACAAACUGGUAUCAGAGCUUGGUUCUGGGAUCUUUUGGCAACGAUGACAAUAACAAAGAUUGUUGUCGAGAAAUUCGACAGAAAUGUCAACUUCGGCUUGUAGCAACUCAAGAUGGAGGCCAUUCUAGUUCAAGACGGAGUUGAUUUGGUACUACAGGGAGCCGAGAGCAUUUCAGAUGAUAUGUCAAAAGAAGAGCUUGCGGGUAUGGAUAAGAAGGCCCGAUCAAGCAUCAUUCUAAAUCUCUCUGACGAGGUUUUAUGGGAGGUAGCUACGGAGACUACGGCUAAGAGCAUGUGGGACAAGCUUAAAGCCUUGUACAUAAAGAGGACAAUGGAGAAUCGUCUCUAUUUGAAGCAGAGUCUGUAUAUGCUUCGGAUGAUUGAAGGUACAUCUAUACUCUCAUAUCUUGAUAAGUUUGAUUCUUUGGUUAUGGAUUUGAAGAAUAUAGAUGCAAAAAUUGAUGAUGAGGAUAAGGCUUUGUUACUCUUGUGUUCUCUUCCCCAAUCUUUUAAGCAUUUCCGUGAUACUUUGAUUUAUGGAAAAGAAAUAGUUUUGUAUCAAGAAAUUAAAUCUGCAUUGAAAUCUAAGGAGCAAAUAGACAGGAAUAUCACUGGGGAAAGUAGAGAGAAUUAGGCUGAGGGUCUGGUUGUUAGGGGGAGAAUGGAUAAAUGAGAAUUUGACAGUAGUAGAUCUAAAUCUAGAUCUAAAUCCAGACAUAGAAAUUUGGAAUGCAGAUAUUGUCAUAAAAUGGGGCACAUUAAAUCUGAUUGCUUUAAAUUGAAAAAUAAAUUAAAGCAAAAGGAAAAAUUUGUUGAGAAAACUAUUGAAUCCGUUGAAGUUAGUGUAGCAACUGAUGAGACUGUUAGAAAUAUUUUCUUUGCUAUUGAUGACAGGACGAUGUCUAAAAAUGAAUGGAUUUUAGAUUCGGGUUGUUCUUAUCACAUGUGUCCCAAUAUAGAUUUGUUUUCCACAUAUGAAUCUUGUAAUGGUGGAAUUAUUUUGAUGGGCAAUAAUGCCGCAUGUGAUGUUGUUGGUAGAGGUACAAUCCGAAUUAAAAUGCAUGAUGGUAUUGUGAGGACGCUCACUAAUGUUAGACAUGUUCCUGAUUUAAAAAAGAAUCUCAUCUCUUUAGGCACCCUAGAGGCCCUUGGGUGUAAAUACACAGCUGAAGGUGGAGUUAUGAAAGUUUCUAGAAGUGCUCUUGUUGUUAUGAAAGCUUGUAGGUCCGGUAGCUUGUAUAUUCUGCAGGGAACUACUGUCAUAGGUUCGGUUGUAGUUUCGUCAUCAUCAUUGUCUGAUUCUGACAUCACCAAAUUAUGACAUAUGCGUUUGGGUCAUAUGAGCGAAAAAGGUUUGAGCAUAUUGAGCAAAAUAGGUCUACUUUGCGGACAGAGUACUGUGCCAUUGGAUUUUUGUGAACACUGCAUUUUUGGAAAGCAGAAAAGAGUCAGCUUCACUUCUCUGGCAAUUCACAAAACGAAAGGUACUCUUGACUAUAUCCAUUCAGACCUUUGGGGUCUAGCUCAUGUUCAGUCUAAGGGUGGUGCUAGGUAUAUGUUAACUUUCAUUGACGAUUAUUCCAAGAAAGUUUGGGUUUAUUUUUGAAGCAUAAAAAUGAUGUUUUUCUAACCUUUAAACAAUAGAAGGCUUUGAUUGAGAAACAAACAGGUAAACAGAUUAAGAGGCUUCGAACAGAUAAUGCCAUGAAAUUUUGUGAAGGUGACUUUAAUGAAUUUUGCAAAAAUGAAGUAAUCGUUCGGCAUUGCACUGUUAGGAUGACGCCUCAACAAAAUGGUGUGGCCGAACGUAUAAACAGAACACUCUUAGAGAGAGCGAGGUGUAUAAUCUCAAAUGUAGGGUUGACAAAGGACUUUUGGGCAGAGGCGAUUAAUAUGGCAUGUUACGUUGUUAACCGCGCUCCUUCUACAGCACUUAACUUUAAAAUUCCAGAGGAAGUUUGGUCAGGUACUCCUGCUGAUUAUUCUGAUUUAAAAAUUUUUGGGUGUCCAGCAUACAUGCAUGUAAAUGAAGGAAAAUUAGAGCCUCGAGCUAAAAAAUGCAUUUUCCUUGGGUAUGCUUAUGGGGUGAAAGGAUACAGAUUAUGGUGUUCUGAUCCCAAAUCCCCAAAAUUUGUAAUCAAUAGAGAUGUUACUUUUGAUGAAUUGUUUAUGUUAUCUUCCAAAGAGGAUUCUACUAGUUGUACAAAUGAUAGUGCGCAGAAGCAGGUGGAGCUUGAGAUUGGUAGUUCAGAUUCUUUUAAGUCGAACUCUUCUACUCAAAGAAUGCCAGUAGGUGGUCCCGAGUUUACUGACGCAGAUGAUCCAGAGGAAGAGCAAUAUUCCAUAGCCAAGGAUAGACCACGGAGAGAUAUUCGACCACCACAAAGAUAUGCAAAUUUGGUUGCAUAUGCUUUGUCUAUUGCAGAAGAGACAAGUGAAGUUGGUGAGCCUACUUCCUACUCAGAUGCAGUUUUUUGUGAUAAUUCCGCUAAGUGGUUGAUUGCGAUGAAUGAAGAAAUUGAGUCUCUCCAUCGGAAUAGAACUUGGGAUCUUAUGAAGCCGCAUUCGGAUAAAAAAAUCGUUGGAUGCAAAUGAGAUAUUAUUGCUGAGGGAAAAGUCCUUGUUCAGAAAAUUCAUACGAAGGACAAUCCAACUGAUAUGUUUACGAAGCCUCUUCCGGUUUACAAGUUCAAGCAGUGCUUGGACUUGGUUGGUGUUCAUUGUUGGUGAUUGCCCGUUGGGGCUGUUAUGAAGAAGGUGGAGCAAGUUUUGUUGGGACAUGCCAAGGUGGAGAUUUGUUAGUUUGGCAAGUCCCAUAGUCCAACAUCGGGAAAAUCAGGCUUGUUAUCUCCUAUUGGAACUAUAAAUAAUGGCCCGGGCUUUAAAGUCAGAUGCACCACAAGAAAAACCUAAGUGUUUAUUUUGGUUUAAGUCCAUACUCAAUUAAAUAGUUUGGAUUUAUAGUUUGGUUUUUCUUUUUUAGUAUUUUCGAGUGUUUUAUGGCCUAGGAACAUCUUCCUAAGGUAUUUGUAAUUGUCCCUCUUUUGUAGUAAUAAUUUGCUCCUCUUUCGUCAAUGGAUGUAAGUCAAAGUCAAUUGACCGAACCACGUAUAUCUGGUGUUCUGGUGUUCUUGUCUCGCUUUUAUUAUUUCCGUUUUAUUGUCUUGUUGGGUUACCAAAAUUACCUUGUGGUAAAUUUUCUGGGGCUAGCUCUAACACAAACAAUCAAGGAUAAUCGAUCCCUAAAGUUUCUCAAAUGCAAAAUCCCACAAACACAAGAAGCAAACCCAGGAGUUGAAGAUCAUCAUAUAACUCGAUCGUUCCGUAAGAAAGAAACGGCGCAAGAAUCAUCGAUCCGUAGAAGAAUACAUCGGAGGGAACGAUCUGUGGAAGAAUAGGAGGCGGAUCGAACCUUGAGAGUCGUCUUGAACCUUAGAACGAUGCGAUACCGGCGAGGAAGCUAUACUUCCUCACAAGAACCUUGGGUGGCGAAUUGCACGGGAGAGGCAUAGGCCAGGAGGUGGAUGCAGGGUUUGGCUCCUCCCGGUCGUCCGCCCUCGAAUGCCUACCGCUUCCC
rnacentral:lncRNA from 1 species